AGGAAUCUGCCCGGUAGUGGGGGAUAACGUGGGGAAACCCACGCUAAUACCGCAUACGUCCUACGGGAGAAAGCAGGGGAUCUUCGGACCUUGCGCUAUCGGAUGAGCCUAUGUCGGAUUAGCUAGUUGGUAAGGUAACGGCUUACCAAGGCGACGAUCCGUAGCUGGUCUGAGAGGAUGAUCAGCCACACUGGGACUGAGACACGGCCCAGACUCCUACGGGAGGCAGCAGUGGGGAAUAUUGGACAAUGGGCGAAAGCCUGAUCCAGCCAUGCCGCGUGUGUGAAGAAGGCUUUCGGGUUGUAAAGCACUUUCAGCGAGGAAGAAAGCCUCUGGGUUAAUACCCCAGAGGAAGGACAUCACUCGCAGAAGAAGCACCGGCUAACUCCGUGCCAGCAGCCGCGGUAAUACGGAGGGUGCGAGCGUUAAUCGGAAUUACUGGGCGUAAAGCGCGCGUAGGUGGCUUGGCACGCCGGUUGUGAAAGCCCCGGGCUCAACCUGGGAACGGCAUCCGGAACGGCCAGGCUAGAGUGCAGGAGAGGAAGGUAGAAUUCCCGGUGUAGCGGUGAAAUGCGUAGAGAUCGGGAGGAAUACCAGUGGCGAAGGCGGCCUUCUGGCCUGACACUGACA
rnacentral:rRNA from 1 species